rnacentral:ncRNA from 1 species
GUGUUUGUAGAAAGGAGAUAUGGUUGGCAUAUCCCUCGAUAAGGAUGCGAACAUUCUUCAUAAUUUCUUAUCACAUGUAGUUAAGGCUCUCCACCCCCAACAGGGUGGAUCUUACCCUAAGUUUUU